CCUACGGGUGGCAGCAGUAGGGAAUAUUGCUCAAUGGGGGGAACUCUGAAGCAGCAACGCCGCGUGGAGGAUGAAGGUUUUCGGAUUGUAAACUCCUUUUGUUAGAGAAGAUAAUGUCGGUAUCUAACGAAUAAUCACCGGCUAACACCGUGCCAGCAGCCGCGGUAAUACGGAGGGUGCAAGCGUUACUCGGAAUCACUGGGCGUAAAGGGCGCGUAGGCGGGUUAGGAAGUCAGAUGUGAAAUUCUAUGGCUUAACCCUAGAACUGCAUGUAAAACUGUUAUUCUAGAGUAUGGAUGAGGUAGGUGGAAUGCAUGGUGUAGCGGUAAAAUCCGUAGAGAUCAAGCAGUAUACUGAUUGCGAAGGCAACCUGCUAAAACAUAACUGACGCUGAUGCACGAAAGCGUGGGGAGCAAACAGGAUUAGAUACCCGAGUAGUC
rnacentral:rRNA from 1 species